UACGGGGGGGGCAAGCGUUGUCCGGAAUUAUUGGGCGUAAAGGGCUCGUAGGCGGUUUGUCGCGUCGGGGAGUGAAAACACGGGGCUUAACCCCGUGCCUGCUUCCGAUACGGGCAGACUAGAGGUAUGCAGGGGAGAACGGAAUUCCUGGUGUAGCGGUGAAAUGCGCAGAUAUCAGGAGGAACACCGGUGGCGAAGGCGGUUCUCUGGGCAUUACCUGACGCUGAGGAGCGAAAGUGUGGGGAGCGAACAGG
rnacentral:rRNA from 1 species